UCAUUACACCCCUCAAGCGUAGCUGGUUAUGGGCCCUCGCCCCCCCUUCGGGGCGUGCCCGAAAAGCAGUGAGCGGUCCCGCGGGGCUUUGAACGCAGUAAAUUUUCUCUCGUUCUGAAAGUCUUCGCCGGUGGCCGGCCAGCAAUGGGCCAUAUCUGACGACUGACCUCGGAUCAGGUAGGAAUACCCGCUGAACUUAA
rnacentral:misc_RNA from 1 species